GGGUCCCUUUGGUUUCACAAGGCCCCACAGGGUCACAAUGGCCCCUUGGUUCCACAGGGCUCUGCAGUUGAAGUACUGAGGCCUGAACAACAUCCCCUGAGCCAAAGUUGGCCUCUGGAUGAACCUUCCAACCUAAUGUUCUAUUUCUCCGCGUAUCCGCUCAGGAGCUAAAACUGGGUCUAUUUGUUGGGAAAAA